rnacentral:rRNA from 1 species
UACAGAGGUCCCGAGCGUUGUUCGGAUUCACUGGGCGUAAAGGGUGCGUAGGUGGUGGGGUAAGUCGGAUGUGAAAUCUCGGAGCUCAACUCCGAAAUGGCAUUGGAAACUACCCUGCUGGAGGUUUGGAGGGGGGACUGGAAUUCUCGGUGUAGCAGUGAAAUGCGUAGAUAUCGAGAGGAACACCAGUGGCGAAGGCGCACAUCUGGCCCGAUACUGACGCUGAGGCGCGAAAGCUAGGGGAGCAAACGGG